UAGGGAAUCUUCGGCAAUGGGGGCAACCCUGACCGAGCAACGCCGCGUGAGUGAAGAAGGUUUUCGGAUCGUAAAGCUCUGUUGUAAGAGAAGAACGUGUGUGAGAGUGGAAAGUUCACACAGUGACGGUAACUUACCAGAAAGGGACGGCUAACUACGUUCCAGCAGCCGCGGUAAUACGUAGGUCCCGCGCGUUUGCCGGCUUUAUUGGGCGUAAAGCGAGCGCAGGCGGUUUAAUAAGUAGGAAGUUAAAGGCAGUGACUUAACCAUUGUUCGCUUUGGAAACUGUUAAACUUGAGUGCAGAAGGUGGGAGUGGAAUUCCAUGUGUAGCGGUGAAAUGCGUAGAUAUAUGGAGGAACGCCGGUGGCGAAAGCGGCUCUCUGGUCUGUAACUGACGCUGAGGCUCGAAAGCGUGGGGAGCAAACAGG
rnacentral:rRNA from 1 species